AACGAACGCUGGCGGCAGGCUUAACACAUGCAAGUCGAACGCCCCGCAAGGGGAGUGGCAGACGGGUGAGUAACGCGGGGGAACAUACCCUUUCCUGCGGAAUAGCCCUGGGAAACUGGAAUUAAUACCGCAAACGCCCUACGGGGGAAAGAUUUAUCGGGGAAGGAUCGGACCGCGUUGGAUUAGCUAGUUGGUGGGGUAAAGGCCUACCAAGGCGAAGAUCCAUAGCUGGUCUGAGAGGAUGAUCAGCCACAUUGGGACUGAGACACGGCCCAAACUCCUACGGGAGGCAGCAGUGGGGAAUAUUGGACAAUGGGCGCAAGCCUGAUCCAGCCAUGCCGCGUGAGUGAUGAAGGCCUUAGGGUUGUAAAGCUCUUUCACCGAUGAAGAUAAUGACGGUAGUCGGAGAAGAUGCCCCGGCUAACUUCGUGCCAGCCGCCGCUGUAACAC
rnacentral:rRNA from 1 species